AUCCUACUCUGGAUCAUUCUCGGGGUUCUCCUUCUGAUACUCCUCUUCGGGUUCCUCAUCAGGGAUUUCCUCAUCAAAAUCAUGCUCCUUAGGCUCCUCAUCCGGGUCCUGAAAUGGUUAUUCAAUAACCACUGAGACAACGUCUCAGCAAGUUCUACUCCCUAAGACCCGAUUAGUAAACUAAUACACCUUAGGGCUGCCUAUGCACAACAUGAGUCAGAGGACUUACCUUGGCCUCAGAUUCCACCUGCAUAUUAGCAUAAAUCAAAUAGGCACUCAAGCAAUAACAUCACAGAUCGAAGCAUCGAUCUAAUCGACUUAAUCGAUUACACGCCAACAAGACCACUCACAGUCAUUUCCAUUCAAUCAAUCAAUUCGCAACAUCAAAUUAAGGCAGUGAUCAAUCACAUUGAAUCACACUCAGAUCGAAUCAUCGAUCAAUCGACCUAGUCGAUUAUAAGUCAGUCGAAUCAUUUCUAGGUCAUUCACUUCAUCCCACAUAACCUCCAAUAGUACACUUAGUCACAGAGCUCCAUCAAUGCUCUCGGGCGUCGUUUCCGCCAAGGUGACAUAAGUAUCAGACGGUCUACGUGCGUUCUUUAAGGCGCCGUUUUCGCACAGUGAUAUUCCUCAUCACCGAACCACGCCCGUCAUGGGUCACAAAUCACUGACAGUCUACGUGCGUUCUUUAAGGCGCCGUUUUCGCACAGUGAUGUCCUUCAUCACCGAACCACGCCUACCAUAAGUCAUAGACAGUCUACGUGCGUUCUUUAAGGCGCCGUUUUCGCACAGUGAUGUACUUUAUCACCGAACCACGCCUGUCUAUACUUCGUACUUGAUCGGUCUCAGCCAAUAGAAUUCUCAGUUAGCUUUCAUCGCUCUCUCCACUUACAGCUCAACAAGGCAUUACAAUUGCUAACUAGCCAUACUCGGCCAUCUACCAAUCAAUAAUUCAAUUUCACUCAAUUUUAAUCAAUUUAGGGUAAAUCCCUAAAAUAUCACAAUUUAUUUAAUUUCAUACAACGUAGAGCUCAAAUAAAUAAACGGACCACGCCACGACGAUCAGCACGAGAUUUCGGUCCUCGUCCAUCAAAAUCUUAAUUUCCGAAAAAUAAAUAAAUAAUUAAUUAAUUCCGAAAAUUAAUUAAUAAAUACUAAAAAUUCAAUUUAGCACAAAAUAAAGCCCGAUUACAUAAACGGACUUCACCACGGUCGUCAGCAUAAUAUUUCGGUCAUUGGUCAUCCAAGUUGAAUUUUCGGAAAAUAAUUAAUUAAUUAAUUUAAUUCUGAAAAAUAAAUAAAUAAACACAAUAAUUCCAAUUUAGCACCAUAUGAAGCUCAAUUAAAUAUACGGUCUGCGCCACCAUCAUCAGCAUAAAAUCCCGGUCACUGGACAUCCCAGUUGAAUUUCCGGGAAAUAAAUAAUUAAAUAAUUAAUUUCGAAAAUUAAUAUUAAAUUCCUAAAAAUACCACUUAGGCCCGAAUCGCUUAAUUAACACCCGAUAAGGGACGGGAAAAAUCCCAAGAAGCAUCCAAUAAAUACUACAAGCAAUUCUCUAUCUAAUUACACUAAUCACACAACUAAUAUGCAAAGCAAUUAACUAAUAAUCACUAAUCAAUUCUAAUAUAACAACAUAAUUACACUUAAUUAACGCUAAUCAACCUUUAAGCGUAAUUAGAAAACUAAGAAAGCAUUAGUGAGUAAGACUCACUCAAAACGACGAGCUCGACGCGAGGAUCAACUUUCCCCAAAGCGGGCCGAGCAUCCGAGCUCGGGAAGGCGGCCAAAACGGGCCAAACGUCAUUGCGAUACCCAUUUUCUGUCUUCUCUGUUUGCUGCUGAUUGAGGGCGAAUCCAAGCUCGGAUUGAAGCAACAGCAGACCUAGAUGGACGGAGG
rnacentral:lncRNA from 1 species